UGAGCGGCCAUUUUGUUAGCCGUGUGUAGCUGUGCAGAUUUCGUUCAUCAAAUUUCACCGAAAACAACAACUUCUGGAGGUUUUUGUUUACAUUGUGUUUUCGAUUACAUACUUGUAAGCCGGAAUAAUAAGUGUUUACUCGCUGACAUUAAACAUAGUCAUUCAUUUUCCGAGCUGCUUUGAGUUUGCUAGCUCUUUAGCUAGCUGGCUAACUUGUUUACGUGUUCCGUUGAGGGAAAACAUCGGGCUUUCAUGACCGCCAGCUUUUAAAUGUUACAACUGUCGAAUGAGCACGGUUUGUCCGCUCCUGACUUCCGUUGCCGUACACUUGUGUCUUUUAUUUAAACCGAAGAAAAUUUGAGCCACGUUUAAGACCUUCCAACUUGCGUUGCACCUCAGUAGUUAACCAGCAACUUGAGCUCCGUCAUCAGCUGACUGCUCACGGACCAGCAGCGCUCAGCCAUCCCGGAGCAACAUGUCAGAGCUGUACAUUAGGGUGGCUGAGGAUGAGAACGAGGAGCCCAUGGAGAUCCCCUCGGAGGACGAUGGGACUGUUCUACUAUCCUCGGUAUCAGCCCAGUUCCCGGGGGCUUGUGGUCUUCGCUACAGAAACCCGGAGUCCCAGUGCAUGAGGGGGGUCCGGCUGGUGGAGGGCGUCCUGCAUGCACCAGAGAGCAGCUGGGGAAACCUGGUCUAUGUCGUCAACUAUCCCAAAGAUAACAAAAGGAAGAUGGAGGAAAUAGACGCGGCGUCGGCUGUUAAAAUUAAAAGAGGUUUUCAGAAAACGUCAGACCUCAUAGUCCUCGGGUUGCCUUGGAAAACAACAGAACAAGACUUGAAGGAUUAUUUUAGCACCUUUGGGGAGGUCAUUAUGGUGCAGGUGAAGAGAGAUGCAAAAACUGGCAACUCAAAAGGUUUUGGCUUCGUCCGCUUUGCAGACUAUGAGACGCAAACUAAAGUCAUUGCUCAGAGACACAUGAUUGACGGACGAUGGUGUGACUGCAAACUUCCGAACUCAAAGGCAUCUCCCGAUGAACCGAUGCGGAGCCGCAAAAUCUUUGUUGGCCGCUGCACAGAGGACAUGACGACGGACGAUCUGAGGCAGUACUUCAUGCAGUACGGGGAAGUCACUGAUGUCUUCAUUCCCAAACCUUUCCGGGCCUUUGCAUUUGUCACGUUUGCUGAUGAUCAGGUCGCCCAGGCUUUGUGCGGAGAGGACCUGAUCAUCAAGGGCGUCAGCGUGCACAUCUCCAACGCUGAGCCCAAACACAAUAACAGUAGGCAAAUGAUGGAUCGGGGUCGGUUUGGGGCUGGCGGGUUCAGUCAGGGGUACAGCAGUAAUCGCGGGGGGCUAAGCAGCGGUAGUGGAGGGGUUAACUUUGGGGCUCUGGGCCUUAACCCAGCAAUGGUGGCAGCAGCUCAGGCAGCACUGCAGAGCAGCUGGGGAAUGAUGGGCAUGCUGGCUAACCAGCAGGGCUUGACCACAGCGGCAGGCACAGCCUCUACCACCAGAGAUCAGACGUAUAGCUCUGCCAGCACCAGCUACAGCAGCCCCAGCUCAGCCAGCCUGGGCUGGGCCGGAGGCACUAACACGGCCUCCAGCAGCGGCUUCAGCUCCGGCUUUGGCACGUCAAUGGAGUCUAAGUCUUCUAGCUGGGGAAUGUAGAGCUAGGUGAGAGUUGAUGUUUUCUCUUGCUGUUAGGCAAAUCUGGUAAGUAUACAUACAGGAAGGAAUGGCUUAUAUCUUAUUUAAGAAAGAAACACUGCCUUUUAUUUUAUUAAAAGCGAACAUUUCUACUGGUGUGACUGACAGUGUAGUCAUGCAUUGAAUGGGUAAAACAUUUAGUUUGUGGAAUCCUCCUACGUAGUUUUGUUUGUGAGAAUAUGUUACGAAGAGACGGCCGUGCAUGUACCAUAACUAUUUAUAAACGUGCACGAGUUUGCUGAGGUCUCCCUGCAGUCCGUCGAAAGCUGGCUGUCAGAUAAUUAUAUAUAUUUAUGCAUCAUAUUGUAUUUCUUUGGUUUGUUUUAUUUUUCUUUUCUUUUGGAAACGCCUUCAUGAACGUUUCUUUCGCAGUUCACCAACUCUUUCACAAUUUCCCGGGAGGAGUCGCUUCAUUGGCUGCAAUGUUCGGCAGAUCUCAGUAUCCCUUCCCCUCCUCCCACGUGUAAAUGCUUUAUCAUCCGAGAACACAGCUUCACUCUGCGUAUACGGUGUUAGACGGGUCGUCGGAUUUGGAAAAAGCCAGAUUUUCUUCUGAGCCCCAGUUUGGAGUCAGCGACGCUUGGUGACGAAGCCGAAAUCGCCUUAAUUCUGGGAAGGAUCUACGUCUCCUCAUUAGCAAGAAACAUUCGACCACUCAGCUAGAGUGAUAUCAAAAUUAUAUUCACAUAUUUGUUUGCUUUGACACAUUGGGACCAAAGUCAUCCUGCUUGUUAGAAAUUUCAUUUUGUUCUCCAAAAACUGUUCAAUUCUACCUCACUAGAUCAUGUUCAUAAAUACUCCACAAGUUACUGGUAUAUGCGAGUAUAAAACCUUAUAUUUAUUGUGAUCAAAAGUUGUAUUAGCAUAGCAGGAUAUGUUGAUAGCUGUUUACCUUCAUGAAGAAGUGCAUUGGCAUUUUUAAGUAUAAAGACCUGAGCGCAAAAUCACACUUUGUGUAUUGAUACUAGUGUUGCAAUGUAAAAUAAAAAGUAGGGUUUUUUUUUUAAGUUGUAUGUGGUCUCAGUUUUGGUAAGCAUGUUAUUUUUUUUACUUGAGAUAGCUGACAGUUUUGCAGAGUUAUAUAUUAUUAUUAUUUAUUCUGUGCUGUGAUUUUCAUUUAAGCCGUCCGAUUUAGAAAUUCUUUUUUUUUUUUUUUUUAAGUGAAACUGGUGCAUGGAUUAAUUACAUACAAAAUUAUAUUCCAAGUGUUUGCUUUUCGUUUGUUUUUAUGAUUAAAAGCUAGAACUCAACUUCUUCAAAUAUUUGAAUUUGACCUAAGAUCAAGUUGUAACAAAAUAAUUUUAAUAUAGAGAUAUUGUGUUGCACGCCAUCAAAUCUUUCAUAUUCUGACCUACUGACGCACAACAAGUCGCAAUGAAAAGGAGCCGUGUCCCCCCAACUAUUGGUUAAGCAGUCAUGCAAUUCUACAAAGUGUUUACUUUUUAUCAAUUGCUUUGGUUCAUUUCUCUGCUUGGAUUCUGUUUUAUUUUGAUCACUAAUUCAACUUGCACAACAUUUAGUCACCAUAUGUCUCAUUAUUUUCCAGCAAAUUGUUAUUGCUUUCAGACAUGAAUCAGUUGCUUCCAUAAAAUUCUCUGAAUUUCUAUAACGUCAUUUGCUUAUGUCAGUCCAAAUGAACUAUACUUAUGAAUCCUGGAUAGUUGUUCCCUAUAAGUCAUUUCAUUGCCGGAAUCGUUACAUACCAAACUGUUGAGCUAGUUUUCAAAAUCUGUCAAAAUUCUGCAUUAUGUUUUAUUAUUUCUUUAAAAGGUUUGCCAAGUUGAGCAAUUUCUCUCAGUGAACCUCAACUUUGAUUAAUAUUGUUUACAGUUGUGUAAAGCUUUUCUCUGUUGUAAAUAAGUUUGUACUUGGCUUAUGCAUAAUGCUGUGGAAAAAACAACUGCAUAGAGCAUAAUGCAGCAAAAAUGUGACGCAUUUGUAUGCAGGUCAAGGUUGUGUUAACCAACAAGGAAUUGUACUUUGGUUUUCAAGCACUCACAGCUUACAAAGUAUAAACUUUAGAGGAAAUAAAGAUAACUGAGCAAUAUG